AGCUAUCAUUCACGGCGAAUAGAGAAGACGCCAACUUCAAGUUGGAGAAAGCAAGAAAUUAUCGAUUGGCUGACUGCAAAAGGUAUUGCGUUUGAAGCAAAUUUGAUAAAAAAAGAACUGCUGGCAAUAGCAAACUUACACAAAACUCGUUUCAUGAAAUACGCCGUGGAAGAUAUAGCCGAAAAAUAUAAUAUAACUGUACUGCGCUACCGCCAUAUCAUUGCGAACUAAAUCCUAUAGAACUGAUAUGGGCGCAGGUAAAAGGAUUUGUAGCAAGACAAAACACGACUUUUAAAAUGAAAGAUGUUAAGCUACUGUUUGAUCAAGCCAUUACGGAAGCGACACCAGAGAAUUGGCGAAAAGCAGUCCAGCAUGUAAUUAAGCAAGAGGACAAAAUGUGGGAUCUUGACAACCUCAUCGAUCAGACAGUCGAUCCUUUAAUUAUAAUGUCAAGAGGUGAUGACAGUUCGUCAGAUGACGAAGAAGACUACAAUCUAUUAUAAUUUAAAAUUGUUAUACACUGUUCAAAAAGUGCCAGAUCCAAAAGUGACAUUUUCAACUGUUUUACUCUACAUAUUAUGUUCAAUAAAUUUGUGAAAAAAAUAUAUUAUUCCAUUUAAACAAAAGUAACUUUCUAAAAUAAAAUAGCAUUUAAGUACAUUAAUUAUAAGGUAAAAAACAAGUCCCAGUUGCACGCCUUUGGCGAACCGUUUUCAAUGUUUAUCAGUGGGUAACAAUGGGCAAAACUCAUAAAUUGACCCAAAACCGGGUGGCACUACCUGCAAUCAACGAAAAGAAAGAAUUUUACAUUGAAACUAAUACCCAACUAAGGUAGUGGCAUAAAAUAUUGGUGGAUCACCAGGUACCACUUUUGCAUACCUAAUGAGGUUUUAUUGCUCUACACACUUCUGAAAUAGAGUAUAGCUAAUCCAUAUAAUAAGGCACUUGAUAAUAGCGUCGCUUGAGGUAUCGUUCUCGAGUAUGCGAGUAUGCGCUUUCCACUUUGCCUCAAACACUGUCGUUAACUGAUACUGAACUAUUCAAGAACCACCAAACGGCCAAUACGAUAUUAUGUACAAUGCUUUUUUAUUUAUUUUUAUUAUAAUAUCGUUUUGACAAUAACAUUAUUAUAUUACAGAAUGUACGUAUUUUUUGCCUAGUAUUUUCUGAAUAAAAUAUUAAGUUUUGUUCUUCUGAUAUUAAGAUUUGGAAAAUUCUUGUUUAGAAAUUCGAAAUAAGUACAUUAAGGAAGUAUGUUGCAUGAAAUCCAAGUGCUAAUAGGAUGCGUUCUCAUGGAGAUAGAGCAGAUCUAUAGUUCGUAUUUUCUUUUUGAAUUAAGGAAGAAAUUUUGCAAAGCAACCAUUCCAAAUCAGUAGUACACGUGCGAUAAAAUAUUUUUAAAUAUCCAUUAUUAAUACAUUCGGAUGUUAUUUCAUCUUUUUUUAAGGAACUUAAAAGAUAGAUGACACCUUGUGACUUUCUUUCUAAAAGAUUUGGUCUGGUCCAACAUUUUCGGACCCGUUUCGUCUGUUUUUGUAAAAUAACUACAACUGCAAAAGCUGCCUGUAAGUCUUUGUCGCAUCACAUUGUUCAGAAUAAUAAAAAUAACUGCACUGAUAUAUAGAUACACGUUUCCUGUUGCAGCAAACAACAAAAUAUUCACAAGAAUGAGUUUCCUGAGUUUCUGUUUCCAUAAACAAGUAGCAGCGACAAAAUGUUCCUCUGUGUUUCUUUAGUGUGGCUUUACAAUCACAACUUGGAAAUCAAGAUGACUGGAGGGGAUAGAUCCUAUGCUUGCCGCAUGCAUAGCGCUAAACAUUUGUAAAUAUUUGUGCUCUGUCGCGCUAAAGUCGAUCUACGGGAACCAGCUAAUUUGCCCACUCUCCCACGCGUCUCAUUAUAUGUCUAUUUCCUUCCCUCGUUUCUAUGUCACCUCCGCUGCCACUUGUUCUCCGUCCGCGUGUUUUGAGUUUGUUCACGUAUUGAUUAGGGCAUUCAGGGCCUUGAAAUCUUGGGCGAUUUACGGAACAUUAAAAACCUUCUACUUCAUACAUUUAAUGCAGAUUUUUUUAAACUCAAGCAUCGAAUUACGUCAUAUAAAAUUUGGCCAUUUGUCAUAGUCUUUAGCUUGCACAGGCUAAACUAACUUUCAUUAAUAAAGUUUUGCGAAAAAUCUUUAAAAAAUUUAUAUGUUCUCAUACUUCGCACAAAAUUUUUCAGAUUAGUUCAGUGUGUUGUGUGCUAAUUGUGAUUAGUUUUCAUUUGGGUGGAUACACGUGGGAUACAAAAAAAAUUCUAAGAAGAAGCGGUUGUGCUAAAUCUGUGGUUAGCAAAAAACACAGAUAGCAGGGCCAAUAUGUUUAAUACUUGGGUUCAGAUUCUUCCUGAUGCCUUAAACCAUGAAAAUCUCAGUAAUAAUCAAUUCUUUGCAUGUGAAAAUUAUUUUUCACAUUUAUUCAAGCAGAAUUCAAGGAGAGGCCUUAAACCAGUUGUCAUACCUUCGGUUAACCUCGUAGGCUUAAUAGAAGAUCACGAUUAUAAGGAACUGACCACUUUUGAUCACAUAGAGCAGCAGCCGACAACAAAAUAUGCUGAUGGGUUGAUAGCUAAAAACUGCACCUAGGUCUUAAGCAAUACCAUAAAAUCCUAGCCGGAUAAUAUGGCAAAAUGGGAUAAGAUUUUUUUUAAUGGUAUUAACAAUGAAUACUUUAAAAUAUGCAUUCUAUUUCAAGACAUUGGAUUCCAAAAUAAAUUACCCAGUGAAGUUUAAUACGGAGUAGAAUUCAUUUUCUCUUUGUAUACUUUUUGACAGCCUCAAUGUCAAAACUUACUCAAAAUGUGACGCCAAAUCUGAGAGAAGAGCAAUUUCGACAGUUUCAAUGCAUGACCAAUUUUGGAUCCUAUACAAAUCUUGGAGAAUUUUUCAAAUGCUAUUAGAAAAAUGAAAGUGGCAAACUAAGGUUAAAGAAGGGGUUUCAACUCGAAAUCCCGACAAGAGAAGAAUGGUCGGCGAACCAAAUUAAAGAGCCAAGUGGUUUCCAGGCCUGGUACACAGAUGGAUUAUGGAUGAAAAGCACCAAUUCAGCCGGAGCCGGAGUGUACAGGAUGGAAACGAACACAGGGGAAUCCUUCCCGCUAGGGAAACAUACCACAGUUUUCCAAGCGGAGGUGUUUGCUAUACUCGAAAUAGCACUUUGUGAAUAACUCGUGAAUUUUUUGCUAUAAUCUCUUCUUAAAAUAUGGUAAGACAUUUUGUAAAUAUUUGUUAUUUAAUUUCUGAAUUCCAGACCUAUUUAUCUAGUAGGAAAUGUAUGGAUCUUUUAGAAAUUACACUUGGCAAAUAAAAAAAACACAAAUCGGGGACUUUAUUUAAUAUGGACAAAAACAGUCCCGAUUUGACACUUUUGCAGCCUGCCUACUAUAAUUUCCGAAAGAACCACACAUUUCCCACUAGUUUUAAGCGCAUGAUAGAGUAGAGCGUAAUUCAAAUUUGGCGCUAUAAUGAAAUUUAAAAUUAACCGCUAUUAUGAUAUCACAAACCCAUUUUCACGUCCGGUUAGUACUAAUCUUCGACAAACAGAGCGCGCAACAGUCAAUCUGUGUUUAGUGUUCUGUUGGCUUUUUUGGGAGUUCCCUAUCUAAGAAGUUUUAAUCUAUGGUAUUGAUUUUUAUUAAUUCAUUUACAUUUCCCAGGCAGGUGUUCCCACCACAGAUUACUAACACUUAUACUAAUACUUGUUGCACACUACGCUACUGCCCGUAUAGCAUGCCACACAGGAUUUGGCUCACCCAGCAUAGGCAAGAUAUCUCUCCGCUCUCGAGUUUCUUUGAAACACUUUUAACGAUAAUACAACGCUGGUACUUGGCGGUAAUAAAUGUUGUUCUUCUUCCUUCGUGUCUCCUGAGUUUCUUCAGGAGACGAUGGUCUAAACGGCUGUGGCUAUUCAAACCAACUUCUGUGUCUUCGUCUCUAGUAUAUGUAUACUGCGUAGUGCGAUUAGAGGGACUCUUCACAAAACUUUUAAAAAACUUCUCAAUGCACGUUGUCGCCUAUAGGCGGGUACUCACUUAAAUCUACUAUAUUUGUGUUCUGUGACUUAAAGUAUCUGAUACGGUAUCAACCUGCAAGUGUGUACGCCUCGUCUUCGUUUACUGCGUAUCCAGCUAAGAGCUUUCGGCUCCGCUCUUUUUAGCAAGAGCUUCGCAGUGCUCGCAAAGAAAUCACGCGGAAAAUGUUAUCCGAAAUGGUGGCUUGUGCUGCGUUUAUAUUUAUAUACAACCUCACUGAAGAUUAUAAAAGGCCGCGUCGAUUUUGGCAAAGUGAAAUAUACAGAAAAAGAAAUCGAACUAAUUUAAUAUUGGACAUGUCUCAAGAGAUCAGUGGACAUUUCAAGAAUUUCACGCAUAUGGCAUCUACGGAUUUUGAAUUCCUGUUAAAUCUUAUUGGACCUAAGAUUUUCACUAAAGACACGAUGUUCAGAAAAGCUAUAACAGUUCAAGACAAAUUGGCUGUAACACUGAGAUUUUUGGCAAGUGGUAAUUCGUUUACUAGUUUGCAGUAUACAUUUAGAAUAUCCAAGCAAGUCAUAAGCAAAUUUGUUCCAGAAGUUUGUAAAGCAAUCGUUGACGUACAAUGUAACGUUAAAAGGCAACGUGAAGGUAAGAUAUUUUUAUUAUUUUUUAAACUAUACCAAUACCUAAUCAUUAAAGUCCAUAUUAAGUAACUCUGACAAUUCACUAUGCGGAGAUGGCUGACAAGUUGGUGAUGGUUGUCCUGAAUGUAUCUGAAUAGGAGAUAGGGGGUGUUGAGAGUCUUUUGAAGACAUCAAUUGCUUUGUGAUUGUAGAUGCUCCGAAAUACUCUGAGUAUAGAUGAUCUGAAGCUAGCUGCUUUAGAGACGAAUGUCGGGAUGACAGGUUUGAAGAUGACUGCGCCAGAGUCGUUCUAGUCGAUCUAGUUGAGUAGGAACAUGUAACACAUAUCCGGAUGUAUCCGGAUGUACAUGGUAUUCACCUGGUCGUAUCGUAACAGGUUGAAUGUUAACAUUAUUAUCAAAGUAACGUCUGUCUGCUUUGAAAAUUAAGUCGCAUAUGCCUUCUUGCACAGCGUUUUUAGUGUUUUCGGAAUACUUUGUCAUUUUACUUCCUACGAAUUCCAAAAAACUUCUAAUUUCGUCAUUUUUUAUAUUGCUAAUUGGAUCAGUUGGUUUUGAUGAAGCCGUUUUUAAGAUUCCGAAAGCCUCUUUCAGCAUUUGUAAUUUUGGAUCUGGUUUUGCCGAUUUCCUUGGUGGCUCUGGCGCUACUUCUGGUGUUGCUAAGCUGUCUUCUUCAGCUAUUUCAUCAUGUCCUGUCUUCAUCCCAUUACUCUCCUGAAACAAUAUUGGAAAUUAUACAAUAUUAUAUAUUUUUUUCUUCAAAUAUAUAUGAAUAAAUAUUAAAAAAUAUUGAUUGGU